AUGAACGCUGGCGGCAGGCCUAAACAUGCAAGUCGAGCGCCCUAGCAAUAGGGAGCGGCGCACGGGUGAGUAACACGUGGGAAUAUGCCUUUUGGUACGGAACAACCUCGGGAAACUGAGGCUAAUACCGUAUGGUCCCUUCGGGGUAAAGAUUUAUCGCCAAAAGAGUAGCCCGCGUUGGAUUAGCUAGUUGGUAAGGUAACGGCUUACCAAGGCGACGAUCCAUAGCUGGUCUGAGAGGACGAUCAGCCACACUGGGACUGAGACACGGCCCAGACUCCUACGGGAGGCAGCAGUUAGGAAUAUUGGACAAUGGGCGCAAGCCUGAUCCAGCCAUGCCGCGUGAGUGAUGAAGGCCUUCGGGUUGUAAAGCUCUUUAGU
rnacentral:rRNA from 1 species